UCCCUCCUUCAGCUUCUCCUCUGCAGAUGACGGUGCUGCACUACCGAAGCUCAUGCUUGCAAGGCCAGGAAAGUCGUGGAUCCCUGACAAUGAGGGCAGUGGUUCAUUGUUGCUGCGGAUCACCUUUCAAAAUAACAACCCUAAACUAGAAACACAAAGUAAAAUGGUCCUACCGAUGUGAGGCUGUUCUACAGAGGGAAUCUCAUGUCCAGAUGGAAUCUCAUGUGAGGAUCUGGUUCCUGGCAGAGGAUCAAUUUCAAGGCUCUAAUGGGCCACCUCAAAAGUUUCCCUGCCAUUCAGAAGGACAACCAGGGCCUGACCCUGUGGCUGCUGUAUCAGUGUGGAGCAUCUGCCUAAAAUGGACACUAGCAUCUCUAGAUAAAGGAGAGGCUGGAGUGCCACACUUUUACUGCACACCCAACCAUUAAAACAACAGCCAACCAACUGUUGAGGUGUGUACACAAUGAUACAGGAUUCUGCACAGAGACUCCAUUCACAAAAUAGGGCCUCUUUCGUAGCCACCCAAAGCAGGCCGAUGCCUUCAGCCCCUGUACCCCAAGACCAAAUUACAGGCAUUUUUUAGGACACAUAAGCUGGUCCUUGUUUCGGUUCCUUACCCCAUUGUGUCUCCUAUCAAGAAAACUUUUCCUGUCAUUCCCAGAAUUGAAACUUGUUCCACAAUUCAGGGAACACAUGUGAAAAUAGGAUCUGGACCUCUCUGUCCUCUCGUCUCUGGACACUCUGGGUGGACCAUCUCUGGAAGAUCCUGUCCCAGCUGCAGAAUGGCAUGAGCUGUCCAUAUCUACAGAAAGAAACACUGGAGGCAAUAGAAUAUCCUGUCAAAGGCCAUUCUGCCCUUGACAAUGAUGUGAAGAUUCCGCUGUCUCCACAUGAACACACCCAGCAUGCCCCAACAUUGUGCUAUUGUCACUAUGGGGGCAAGAAGGAGAAGAGGACUAUGCAAGUAGGAUGCUGGAUGUCAAGAUAAUAAUAAUGAUUGAGUCACCCUCUAGUGAUGACGAUGAAGCUCAGGCUCUACACUUCAGUGUGAGAGCUCAGUGUUGUUUCUGGAACCGUGUCCACACCAACACCCAGAAAUCCACAGGUUUUGGAUGGUGGAUGCUUCUGACCCAACGGGGAGAGUGGAGGCUUGAGCACUUAAGUCCCUGCAGAUUUCUCAACCUGCCUGAACUCUCUGCUAAUCCAGUGUUCCAGUACUCUCCUACGGUGAGGCGAGAGAAGACCAGAGAUGUUUGCAACUCUGAUCCAGUCUAACUGAACUUCCAGUGCUCAAACACAGAGAGUGGACAGAGAUUUUCGAGGCCUCUCCAUGAAUGCUGUCCAGAAUCAAGCUAUGGGGGAGUUCAGUGUGGGAGACGUGCAGGACCUUGGAUGGAGUCUGGGAUCUAGAGAAUGAAAUGUAUCUUCAUUAGGGCCAGAAGACACAUGAGGAGUGGCCUAGUAGAUACAGAAGACACAGUGUCAUGAUGUGGAGUCCAAGGCCAAGGGAGGUUACUGAGAAAUCCAAUGCCUGUAUGAGUGAAGCUGGACAUGAACAGUGUGGAUGGACGUGGUCCCUUUCACUUCAAGCUGCAGUGUUAUCACCAGCUGCUGCAGAAGCCCAUGUCCCAGUAGACUAUCCUCUGACAAGAAUAUUAUGCCUUUUAAGCUCAUAUGAUGAUUUCUCUGUCUCCAUAUAGGAGACCAGGCCAUAAAAGGUGCUACUGUCACUGAGGAGACCGUAAUGAGAGGACUGUGACAGUGGGAGGCGUCAUGCAAAAGUGAUGUGAGGCUCAGAUGCAUCUGGAAGCUUUAUGGUGCAACCCCUUCUUCCCUAUUCAGACCUUCAUUCUAUGCUGGAGUCUUCCUAGUGACAGUCCUGUCACCAAAUGACAACAACUUCUCCCUGAUCAAUCUUGAGACUAAAGAGGCUAGAGGAGGGCCUCUACAGAUCAGUCAGUGGGUGUCCCCUGACCACUGCCACUGCAUUUUCUAGGGAUUGUGUUCUAUGUGUGGGAUGUAUGAGAGAGCUGGUCUCCCAGCUCUUGGGAUGCAGCCUGUUCCUCAUUUCCUGGACUGUGCCUGCUCCAGUCUUCCUCUUGCAUCAUGGAAGCCAUUCUUCCAGUCACAGGCUUGACUUCAUUCUUACCCACAAGGGGGAAGGGUGAAGAUUGGCUCUGAGAUGUGACCCCAGCUUCUAGACUGUCUAUGUGAGGUGGUAUUAUCUGAUCUUUUCUCAGUUGCCAUUCUAUAGUCACAGUGAUGUGCAAGGCUCUAGCUAGGUGCUAGAUCCCAGGAUCAUUAAUAUCAUGGACAACCUGUGCCCAAGAAGCUAACACACUGACACAGUCCAGGACAUCCAGGAAUACGAAGGUGGUGAGUCAGAAGAUGAAGAGGCUAUCCUGAUGGCCGGACAAUGUAGCAAUCCCAGAAACAAGAGGCCAUGCUCCUGCAUGUAGAUCCACCAUUCUUCACAUAUGCAUGUUGAGUUUCUAAGCAGAUGUCCCCAGCUAUGGUUCUGACCUUCAGAAAAGCAGUCAAAGGUCAUGAGGAUUUCUGACAGAAUCAACACAGGCUGAUGCCUGUAAACCAAAGUCCUUUCCUGUUUGGAGCUGCUGAGUGUAGUCUGAACUAUCCUGGUGCUUUCCCACAAGAAGUUGCUGAAUGUGGCUACCUGGAAGGACAACCAAAGAGGGCUGCCAGAGAGGAGGCCACUACCAAUUAGUCAAGCAACCUCAUCUGCAUCAUCACAAGCAUCUGUAGUAUGGAGGUCUGGUAAACACGGUGUGGGCCUCUUCCUUCCCUGGAUGCCACCAUCAAGUGAGAUAUAGGUCGUUCACAUCACUGUGUGGACCUAGAAUUCCUCUGCAGGUAAGGGCUUGGGAAAAGGGCCGUGUGCUAGUGGUUGAUAUCACUGGUUAUUCCUUAAGUAUGAGAAAUCCGAGUAUCCAGCUGUUACAGAGCACCCUCCUUCCUUGCUUCAGCAAGGAUGCUGCUCACUAACCUAUCAGUGGUGUGGUGGCAGAUGGGAAGCAAGCAGAGUAUCAUAGGCUUGCCUCUGUGAUUGGUAAUUCCUGGAAGAUCAUUAGUGGAGGGAUGUUUAGGGUCUUAGAAACUCCUCUUCGCUCUCAUCUGACACAUGGUGGCAUGUACUGACAGAGGUCCCUCUAACCCUUAUAAGAACACCCUGAAGGCAAUAUUUAGAUUAUGACUGGAGAUGAGACAUUCAAAGGGAGGGAGGCAGGGUGCCUCACCGAGCAUGACAUGGGAGCCACAGUUUGAUAACGUUUACUGAUGAAGGGAACCACCAGAUAUCUUCCACUGUUGUCCCUAGAUUGUUUUAGAGUCCUUGUGAUACUCUGAAGCAAAACCUUUUAGCUUCAUUUCCAUCACAGUGACUGGACACUUACAGUCAUAUACUGGAAUUAUAUUGUUAUACUGCAUUACCACAGUGAAGCCAAGGCAUAUCUGCAAAGGGGACGCUCAUGUCAUAUGCUUGCAUGUGCUCAUCUAAAGCUCUGUGCUAUUGUGCAGCCUGGUACCCAAGCCUAAGGAAUGGCACUGCCCAAAUUGUUGUGUCUUCCAAUGUCAAUUAAGAUAAUGAACUUGAUCCUCUAUAGACAGGCUCACAGGAGAACUUCAUCUAGAGGAUCCCUCUGUGAAGACUCCCUCCAGGUCACUUCUACACUACUUAAGAUUACUAAUUAAAGGGCAUGAAUUGCUCCCAGUGGCUACCAUAGCUCCCAACAUUGAAAAUUGUCAGAUUCGUGACUAGAGGUUUCAGCUUCUCAUUUUACUCAGGCUCAAACCUGACAUCUUGUGGUGUGUCCUACCUAGCCCUCUCAGCUUCUCCCUACAUUAUACCUGACACUGUUUUCACUCAGCCAUCAGCUCAUCACUGGGAUGUCUCUACUGUGUCCUUGACUAAUGCUUUCUACACAGGGAUUAAGAUUUCACAGCAGACAUCUUUGCCUUCAGGUUGAUCUAUUUUUCUAUUUCCUCUGCUAGGUCCUUUUACAGGAGUGGAGUCCUUCCCUCCAAGAGAGGUUAGCAACUGGUCAGACAUUCAGGCCAUUUUCUUUCUGCUAGCCUGUGCUUCUUUGAGUAGGUCCAAUUCAGUGCUACUAGGUAUGUAUAAUGCUUACAGACCUUACCCUAAUUUAUAGAGAUGGUAUGGGUAUUGAGAGCAUGUAACCUUGGAAAGCAUUUUAAAUUAGUUACAUAUGUUCUCACUUAUGACCUGUUUGCUGUCUCCUCUGUCUGUCUCUUCUGCUUCUCUGUUUCUAUAUCUCUCUGUUACUCCAGCUUUGUCUCUGUCUCUGCAUUUGUUUCUGACUUUCUCAUGUUCUCUAUCUCUCUUCCUCUCUGCCUCUUCGCUUCUCUCUCUUCUCUCCCUCUCCCUAUCUCAACCCUCUCUCUCUCCCUCUCUCUGUCUCUCUCUCUCUGUGAUAUCAUGUAUAUUUUCUGGGUAGCUUGUGGAUGUCAGAGGAUAACUCUAUUGAGGUAUUUCUCAAACCCUUAAAGGACCCAGAGAUUUAACUCUAGCUACUAUUCUUGGAAAAGUUUUAUAGGUGUAAGAACAUGAAGGAUCUGAGGCUGUGCCAGUCCAUGCUGGAGAAGUACCUGACUGGACUGAGGAGUAGAAACCUCGGCCACGGACCAUGAAUGUGCUGUUCUCCUUCCCUGGAUGACAGUCAGAACAAUGGAAUCUUCUCUGUCCUUCAGAAUUUUCUUGGUUGUUGAUUUGGGGAUCCUCAAUCUCUCAACUUAGUUCCCUAAUGUCAAGUAGUAUUGAAUAUUAGCAUCCUACUUUAUUUGCCCCUGUUAUUUCUGUCUACCUUUAUUUUGCCAGAACUUUGUAUGGCUAUGACAGUACGUUUGUAUCACUUUAGGAUUGGCAAGGCCACAUCAGGGUAACCAGAGCCCUUUCACAGGAUAGUCUUCUUGUAACACUAAUCUUGACUCAGUGGUGAGAGAGAACUUAAAACUCAGAGCAUGACCUGCCCCAGUGUGGUUCCUGAGCCUGGGAACUCAAAGCUCAACAGUCCAACCUUCUUCGUUUAUUCUGGGUUUGGACUUUUUGCAGUCUUUUCAUGUCAGUGUCAACAACUACUUCGGUAGUAGCUGGAAGUCCAGAAAUCACGGGGUGGGCGUUUCUUGAAUGAUCUUGACCCAUGUUGGGUCUUCUAACUUCUGUCUCCACAUUCAACAUUAAAUAUACCAUAUCUCUCCAAAGGUCAUGCCUGUUCCAGUAUCCUGAACUCAGUGAGGAGGUUGGAUCAAGUGUCAAAGGAAUGAAGGUCAAGCUCUGGAUUUUAUCAGAGAGUCUGAGCAAGACCACUGAUGUUCUGGGAAAAACUUGACUUUUCAGUGGGAUCUUCAUCUGCUGUACAUAACCAACAACCUCUGCUGUGAUGAAAACCAGAGGAUGAUAAAAGGUGCUGCAGUUGGCAUGACUGCUGACAAGAGACACUCAGAGGUUCACUUCAAAUUCAAUAUUCAGAUUGUCUUCAUGGUCUUUCCUUAGUCUCCCCUUAGAGACAGAACUGAAAUUCACCCUGGACCACAUCUUUUACAUGCAGCCCCUUUGUAGGGAGGAGAACAAAGACCUGGAGAUGUCAUGCUGUUCACCUGUACAAACAGUGCAGAGGAGCAGGCAACCAACACCAGACCUUCUGGGUGCUAGGACCCUGUCACUAUCCAAGGGCUAUCUAGGAUGACUCUGUACAGGCGGUAUGGCAGAAGUUAAUUCUUUCCAAAAGAGCCUGACUGACAUAGUAAAGAGGGCUCCCACAACCUCCCUCUCGCAGUCUCCAUCAACUCUUGCAUGUCUCCUUGGCAACCACUUCAGAGAGUUUGUGAUUCUCCUGACAGGAGAGCUCCAGCAAAAUCUCGGACUUCAGUCUCAUGAUACUGAAGAGACUGUUCUAGCUGAUGAGGCCGGGCUUAGAAGAUGGACUACAGCCAAGAACCCUGGCCACCAUAACGACAAGUCACACCUUUAGGGAACACUUGAAAAGCACUUAUGCACAGUAGAAAAGUACAAGGAUUAAAGUCUCCUCAGGCAUUCCAGCAUAGAGAGAGUCUGACAGACUCAGGUCAGAGGUUACCUCCAAAUAAUAGAAGAGGAAGAAGGUCCUGCUUGACAGAAGAAGCCUGUGGCUGAGGCCAUUGCAACAAGGACUAUGACUGUGAAACUUGUUUCUCCGUGGAUACCGGUUUCAGAAAUCUUGUGCCCAGGUACCCACAGUCCUCCUCACAUACCUCAUUUUAUAGAACUUUGCAAGUCCUGACAUUCUGUCAUGUGCUUUGUUAUCCCACAUAGGGUAACAAAGAUUUUUACCCAUUUAAGAGUCUGGAAAUAGGCUGGACCCACUGUUGACAUUAAAGGUGC
rnacentral:lncRNA from 1 species